rnacentral:rRNA from 1 species
UGAAUACGAGACGCUACGGCGUCGAAGCAGUCUAUGUCAGACUUCCAAGAAAAGCUCGCAAUGUCAUAAACAAAUAAUGCCUGUACCAUAACCGACACAGGUGGGUAGGUAGAGUAUACUAAGGGGCGCGAGAUAACUCUCUCUAAGGAACUCGGCAAAAUGACUCCGUAACUUCGGGAGAAGGAGUGCCUUAUUUAUAAGGUUGCAAUAACAAGAUCCAAGCAACUGUUUAUCAAAAACACAGGUCUCCGCUAAGUCGUAAGACGAUGUAUGGGGGCUGACGCCUGCCCAGUGCCAGAAGGUUAAAGAAGUUGGUUAGCAUUCGCGAAGCUGAUAACUGAAGCCCUGGUGAACGGCGGCCGUAACGAUAACGGUCCUAAGGUAGCGAAAUUCCUUGUCGGGUAAGUUCCGACCCGCACGAAAGGCGUAAUGAUUUGGAUACUGUCUCGGAGAGGGGCUCGGUGAAAUAGACUUGUCUGUGAAGAUGCGGACUACCUGCACCUGGACAGAAAGACCCUAUGAAGCUUUACUGUAACUUGAAAUUGAAAUUGGACUUUAUUUGCGCAGCAUAGGUGGGAGGCUUUGAGAGUAUUCUUGCGGGAAUAUUGGAGCCAUCAGUGAGAUACCACUCUUGUAAUGUUAGAUUUCUAACUUUGUAUCAUUAUCUGGUCAAAGAACAGUUUCAGGCGGGCAGUUUGACUGGGGCGGUCGCCUCCCAAAUGGUAACGGAGGCGUACAAAGGUUUCCUCUGAACGGGUAGAAAUCGUAUCUAGAGUGUAAAGGCAUAAGGAAGCUUGACUGUGAGACCUACAAGUCGAGCAGGGACGAAAGUCGGUCUUAGUGAUCUGACGGUGCUGAGUGGAAAGGCCGUCACUCAACGGAUAAAAGUUACUCUAAGGAUAACAGGCUGAUCUCCCCCAAGAGUUCACAUCGACGGGGAGGUUUGGCACCUCGAUGUCGGCUCAUCGCAUCCUGGGGCGGUAGUACGUCCCAAGGGUUGGGCUGUUCGCCCAUGAAAGCGGUACGCGAGCUGGGUUCAGUACGUCGUGAGACAGUUCGGUCCCUAUCUGUCGUGGGCGCCUGAGAUUUGAGAGGAGCUGCUCCUAGUACGAGAGGACCGGAGUGGACGUUCCUCUGGUGUUCCGGUUGUCACGCCAGUGGCAUUGCCGGGUAGCUAUGAACGGACGGGAUAACCGCUGAAAGCAUCUAAGCGGGAAGCCCCCCUCAAGAUUAGAUCUCACUGGGACCUCGAGUCCCCUGAAGGGCCGUCGAAGACUACGACGUUGAUAGGCUGGGUGUGGAAGCGCAGUAAUGUGUGAAGCUAACCAGUACUAAUUGCCCGUGAGGCUUGACCAA